rnacentral:rRNA from 1 species
CAGUAGCCGCGGUAAUACGUAGGUGGCAAGCGUUGUCCGGAAUUAUUGGGCGUAAAGGGCUCGCAGGCGGUUUCUUAAGUCUGAUGUGAAAGCCCCCGGCUCAACCGGGGAGGGUCAUUGGAAACUGGGAAACUUGAGUGCAGAAGAGGAGAGUGGAAUUCCACGUGUAGCGGUGAAAUGCGUAGAGAUGUGGAGGAACGCCAGUGGCGAAGGCGACUCUCUGGUCUGUAACUGACGCUGAGGAGCGAAAGCGUGGGGAGCGAACAGGAUUAGAUACCCCUGUAGUCCCUGUCUCUUAUAA